rnacentral:rRNA from 1 species
UACAGAGAUGGCAAGCGUUGUUCGGAAUCACUGGGCUUAAAGCGCGUGUAGGCGGAGCGAUAGGCGCCUUGUGAAAUCCCUCGGCUCAACCGAGGAACUGCUUGGCGAACCGGCGCUCUUGAGGCAGGUAGAGGUAACUGGAACCAUAGGUGGAGCGGUGAAAUGCGUAGAUAUCGGGAGGAACACCUGUGGCGAAGGCGGCCAUCUGGACGGUCACUGACACUGAGACGCGAAAGCGUGGGUAGCAAACAGG